GAUGAACGCUAGCUACAGGCUUAACACAUGCAAGUCGAGGGGAAACGGCAUUAAGUGCUUGCACUUUUUGGACGUCGACCGGCGCACGGGUGAGUAACGCGUAUCCAACCUUCCCAUGACUAAGGGAUAACCUGCCGAAAGGCAGACUAAUACCUUAUGGUCUUCACUGACGGCAUCAGAUGUGAAGUAAAGAUUUAUCGGUUAUGGAUGGGGAUGCGUCUGAUUAGUUAGUUGGCGGGGUAACGGCCCACCAAGGCAACGAUCAGUAGGGGUUCUGAGAGGAAGGUCCCCCACAUUGGAACUGAGACACGGUCCAAACUCCUACGGGAGGCAGCAGUGAGGAAUAUUGGUCAAUGGGCGAGAGCCUGAACCAGCCAAGUAGCGUGCAGGACGACGGCCCUAUGGGUUGUAAACUGCUUUUGUAUGGGGAUAAAGUCAA
rnacentral:rRNA from 1 species